rnacentral:rRNA from 1 species
ACGAACGCUGGCGGCGUGCUUAACCCAUGCAAGUCGAACGGAAAGGCCCCUUUGGGGGUACUCGAGUGGCGAACUGGUGAGUAACACGUGAGUAACCUGCCCUUGACUUCGGGAUAACUUCAGGAAACUGGGGCUAAUACCGGAUAGGAAUCCUUGCUGCAUGGUGGGGGUUGGAAAGCUUCGGCGGUUUUGGAUGGACUCGCGGCUUAUCAGCUUGUUGGUGGGGUAGUGGCUUACCAAGGCUUUGACGGGUAGCCGGCCUGAGAGGGCGACCGGCCACAUUGGGACUGAGAUACGGCCCAGACUCCUACGGGAGGCAGCAGUGGGGAAUAUUGCACAAUGGGCGGAAGCCUGAUGCAGCAACGCCGCGUGCGGGAUGACGGCCUUCGGGUUGUAAACCGCUUUCAGCAGGGGCGAAGCUUGUGGUGACGGUACCUGCAGAAGAAGCACCGGCUAACUACGU